rnacentral:snRNA from 1 species
AUAUUUUUUCAAAAAAAAAAAAAAAAAUCUGUUCUUAUCAGUUUAAUAUCUGAUACGUCCCCUAUCUGGGGACCAUAUAUUAAAUUGAUUUUUGGAAAAAGGAGAUGGAAUAGGGGCUUGCUCCGUCCACUCCACGCAUCGACCUGGUAUUGCAGUAUCUCCAGGAACGGUGCACCUCCU